rnacentral:rRNA from 1 species
UACGACUACACAUCAGGCAUAUCAAUAAGCGGAGGAAAAGAAACUAACUAGGAUUCCCUUCAGUAACGGCGAGUGAAGCGGGAAGAGCUCAAAUUUGAAAUCUUCAAGGUUUUACCUUGACGAAUUGUAGUUUAAAGAAGUGUUUUCUGUUGAAGUUUUGGUAAAAGUUCUUUGGAAUAGGACAUCAUAGAGGGUGAGAAUCCCGUAUUUGACCAUUAUUUUCAGCUGUGUGAUACACUUUCAAAGAGUCGGAUUGUUUGGGAAUGCAGUCCAAAAUGGGUGGUAAAUUUCAUCUAAAGCUAAAUAUUGGCGAGAGACCGAUAGCGAACAAGUACCGUGAGGGAAAGAUGAAAAGAACUUUGAAAAGAGAGUUAAACAGUACGUGAAAUUGUCAAAAGGGAAGCGUUUGACACCAGUGUUGUUUUCUCGAAAAUCAAUUAAAAAAGUUAGGAUUUUGUGUUGUAUUGACCUUAUCAGCUUUCUGCACUCCUUUCCUAGUCUUUUUUAAUGCACUUUUCGUUUAACAAGUCAACAUCAAUUUCUUUUGUUGUAAAAGGGUCAUUGGAAGGUGGCUUUCUCUUCGGAGAAAGUGUUUAUAGCCUUUGAUCUCUGCAAUCGGAGAGACUGAGGUCUGCAGCGUAGAUCCUUCGGGGUUAGAUACAUUUGUGCUAAGUUAUAGCCUUUCAUAGACAACUUGUUGACUAUGAUCAGUCAUGUAGCUUACUCGCUUAUGCUAUUUUACCUACGCUUAGGAUGUUGAGCGCAUGUCUCUCUCU